CAAAUGAAUUGACGGGGCCGCACAAGCGGUGGAGCAUGUGGUUAAUUCGAAGCAACGCGAAGAACCUUACCAGGUCUUGACAUCCCGAUGCUAUUUCUAGAGAUAGAAAGUUACUUCGGUACAUCGGUGACAGGUGGUGCAUGGUUGUCGUCAGCUCGUGUCGUGAGAUGUUGGGUUAAGUCCCGCAACGAGCGCAACCCCUAUUGUUAGUUGCCAUCAUUCAGUUGGGCACUCUAGCGAGACUGCCGGUGUCAAACCGGAGGAAGGUGGGGAUGACGUCAAGUCCUCAUGGCCUUUAUGACCAGGGCUACACACGUACUACAAUGGCCGGUACAAAGGGCAGCCACUUAGCGAUAAGGAGCCAAUCCCGUAAAGCCGGUCUCAGUCCGGAUUGGAGUCUGCAACUCGACUCCAUGAAGUUGGAAUCGCUAGUAAUCGCAGAUCAGCACGCCGCGGUCGAAUACGUUCCCGGGCCUU
rnacentral:rRNA from 1 species